AAAAGGGGAAUCAAAAUCCAGCUCACUCCCAAAAAAUAACUUUUGGUUACCCGGUCUUACUCCCUCUUCUUCUCCCAAAUCCCCCAAAUAAAAUUUAGCUACUAUUUUUCUCUCGAACUGAAAAAAAAAAAAGAAACUGAGAAAGGCACAAAGGGUUUUUGGAAGCAAAGUAGAGCGAAGAAAACCCUUCACUGUUAUUCACUCUGUUUUCGCCAAUGAAGUUCCUCUUUCGAUUCAUUUCUGGUCGUCAUAGGGGGACACCCUUGUACCAUGCAGCAAAAAGAGGCCUUCUAAAUACGCUAAUCUGUUGGUGAUGAAUGAUGAUUGUCAAACACCUCUAGAUGUUGCUAGGGUGAAAGGAAAUGUCAAUGUUGUAAAGGCAACUGAGGGUCAUAUAUGUUUAUUCUCUGGUUGGAUGCGGGAGUUUUACAGGCCAGGAUUUAUUGAAAUGUUUGUUCCUCAGUUGCUUUCAAGAAAAGUGCGGUUGGGUGGUUGUUCUACCAAUUGGUUCCCGAAAUAAUUCAAAACCUUUCAAGUUGGAGCUUGCCAUAUAUUCUACUUUGCAGAAUGUUAAGAUAUUUAAAAAUGUCAAAGGCUGUGAGGAUGCAAAACAAGAACUUGAAGAAGUAGUGGAGUAUCUCAAAAACCCAUCAAAGUUCACCAACCUAAGGGGGAAAUUGCCAAAGGGAAUCCUUUUGACAGGAACAUUUGGAACUAGAAAAACCUUGCUAGCCAAGGCUAUUGCGGGGGAAGCUGGGGUACCUUUCUUCUAUAGAGCAGGAUGAAAAACCACAAAAAAUAAAUUCAUUGAUUAUAUACAUAAAUUCCUUGAUCACCAUGUUUGCCAAAGACAAAAAAUGUGAUAAAGAUGAUUAUAUUCUUACCUACCAGGACAAAGAAGGAGAUUGGCUGUGCAGGCGAUAUUCCAUGGCACUGAGAAGCUUUCAGUAUUGACCUUGAAGCAAUUCAGACAAGGUUACAAAUGGCAAUGGAGGUUAGAGACAGUCUCGAGAUAGCUCACACUGCGGAGGACUUCUCUAAGUUAUAUGCAGGCAUUGCAAUACUUUGGAUUCAUCUAAGCUUGAACCAUCCCUCUGUUGUAUAUUGUUUCUUCUUCUUUUCUGAUAUUUUUUCUUUGAUUAAUGAGAGGUGAUGAUGAUUUGGCAUUCUUUUCUCACCAGGUUGAAUUUUGUUUUAGAAAUAGUAAUACUUUGUAAGUGUCUGUGUGUUUUUUAUGUAUUAAAUUACAUAUUGAAUCAAUGUUUAUGUAUUAAAUUUAAAUUUAUUAAUUUUUAUAUUUAGUUUUAAAGUUGAAAUUUUAAUAGAAAA